GAUGAACGCUGGCGGCGUGCCUAAUACAUGCAAGUCGAGCGAAUGGAUUAAGAGCUUGCUCUUAUGAAGUUAGCGGCGGACGGGUGAGUAACACGUGGGUAACCUGCCCAUAAGACUGGGAUAACUCCGGGAAACCGGGGCUAAUACCGGAUAACAUUUUGAACCGCAUGGUUCGAAAUUGAAAGGCGGCUUCGGCUGUCACUUAUGGAUGGACCCGCGUCGCAUUAGCUAGUUGGUGAGGUAACGGCUCACCAAGGCAACGAUGCGUAGCCGACCUGAGAGGGUGAGAGGCCACACUGGGACUGAGUCACGGCCCAAACUCCUACGGGAGGCAGCAGUAGGGAAUCUUCCGCAAUGGACGAAAGUCUGACGGAGCAACGCCGCGUGAGUGAUGAAGGCUUUCGGGUCGUAAAACUCUGUUGUUAGGGAAGAACAAGUGCUAGUUGAAUAAGCUGGCACCUUGACGGUACCUAACCAGAAAGCCACGGCUAACUACGUGCCAGCCGCCGCCGUAA
rnacentral:rRNA from 1 species